UACGUAGGUUCCGAGCGUUAUCCGGAUUUACUGGGCGUAAAGCGCGUUCAGGCGGUUUGGCAAGUCGGGCGUGAAAUCCUUCGGCUCAACCGGGGGAGGUUGUCCGAUACUGCUAAACUGGAGGGCAGUAGAGGGUGGUGGAAUUCCGGGUGUAGUGGUGAAAUGCGUAGAGAUCCGGAGGAACACCAGUGGCGAAAGCGGCCACCUGGACUGUACCUGACGCUGAAACGCGAAAGCUAGGGGAGCGAACGGG
rnacentral:rRNA from 1 species